CGGAUCGCUUCGAGAGGGGCCUGCGUCCCAUCAGCUAGUUGGUAGGGUAAUGGCCUACCAAGGCGACGACGGGUAGGGGACCUGAGAGGGUGAUCCCCCACAAUGGAACUGAAACACGGUCCAUACAUCUACGGAUGGCAGCAGUAGGGAAUAUUGCACAAUGGGCGAAAGCCUGAUGCAGCAACGCCGCGUGUGCGAUGAAGGCCUUCGGGUUGUAAAGCACUUUUCUGAGGGAAGAGGAAGGACGGUACCUCAGGAAUAAGUCUCGGCUAACUACGUGCCAGCAGCCGCGGUAACACGUAGGAGGCAAGCGUUAUCCGGAUUUACUGGGCGUAAAGCGCGUGCAGGCGGUUUGGUAAGUUGGAUGUGAAAGCUCCCGGCUCAACUGGGAGAGGCCGUUCAAUACUGCCAGACUAGAGGACGGUAGAGGAAGGUAGAAUUCCUGGUGUAGUGGUGAAAUGCGUAGAUAUCAGGAGGAAUACCAGAGGCGAAGGCGGCCUUCUGGGCCGUUCCUGACGCUAAGACGCGAAAGCAUGGGUAGCGAACGGGAUUAGAAACCCCGGUAGUCCAUGCUGAAAACGAUGCAAACUUGGUGUUGGUGGUGUAAAAGCCAUCAGUGCCGUAGCUAACGCGAUAAGUUUGCCGCCUGGGGAUUACGGCCGCAAGGUUAAAACUCAAAGGAAUUGACGGGUUCCCGCACAAGCAGCGGAGCGUGUGGUUUAAUUCGAUACUACGCGAAGAACCUUACCUGGGCUUGACAUAUAGGUGGUAGGGAGCCGAAAGGUGACCGACCCUUCGGGGAGCCUAUACAGGUGCUGCAUGGCUGUCGUCAGCUCGUGUCGUGAGAUGUCCGGUUAAGUCCGGUAACGAGCGCAACCCUUGCCGUAUGUUAUACGUGUCAUACGGGACUGCCGAUAUAAAAUCGGGGGAAGGCGGGGAUGGCGUCAAGUCUGCAUGGCCUUUAUGUCCAGGGCUACACACACGCUACAAUGGCCAGUACAAUGGGUCGCAAAGCCGCGAGGCGGAGCCAAUCCUCAAAGCUGGUCUCAGUUCGGAUCGCAGGCUGCAACUCGCCUGCAUGAAGCCGGAGUUGCUAGUAAACGCGCGUCAGCAACAGUGCGUUGAAUACGUUCCCGGGAAUUGUACACACCGCCCGUCACGUCAUGGAAGCUGGUAACACCUGAAGUCGGUAUCCUAACCC
rnacentral:rRNA from 1 species